GGGGCCGGCUGCUCGGGGAUAGGCUGGGCAUCGGUCACCGGGUGGUGGUUUUCCUUGGAAGAACCACUAAGACAGUUCAGAAAAUAGCAAUAGGACCAUUUCUCCGUGCCAUUCACUGCUCCACUUCAGAGCCUGCUGUAUCACAACCUGGAUGCUGUCUGGUUCCUCUUCACUGGAAACCUGCCUGCUUCAUUCUCUGGUUGCUAUGGAGUCACUCGCUGCCUUUCAAUCUCGAGAUGUCUGACUUCCUUGGCCACUUCUACCUGCGGCAUUUGAUUCUUAUGUUGAUGCCUCUGCUCUCAGCACUGUGACUUGAAGCCCUCUGUCCCAGCUCCUCAGUACUGCUCCUUUCCAGCUUCUGGAUCCAUGUUUCACUCGUUAGUGUAAUAGCGUUAUUAGGCAGCACUCAGCCAUGUUAGGCUGCAGAGCAAAUGUUACAAGGGGACCCUGUUUGAAAGAGAUGUGCAUUCCUUGGGAGAUGAGGCCAUGCAUUUCUAAGCAAGUAAGGAUUUAUAUAGAAACAGAGGUUUGUUUAAAAAGACUGGGAUUUUUUAUUUAUUUUUUAUUUUUUUUCCCCUUGUGAUUGGACUCCAGAUUAAACAAACAGGGAGACAGGAAGGACUUAACAUAAUACAGAAGAAUAAGUGGGAAAAAAGGGAGUAAUUUGAGAAGAAAAUUGAAAGCUUAUUGUUUUCAGUUCUGUUGCUUUGGUAAUUUUCUUCAAGAAUGUAAAUUCAUUUGAUUUUUUUUUUCUGAGGGAAGAAAUUUCUUUUUAAUAAAAUUUACACUAUGGAUUUUUUUUUUUGUAAAUAAUGACUCCUCAAUACUUCAGUUUAUGUCUCCCAUGCCACAUAGUCUCAUCUUUCCAUUAUAUUUCAUACUUGCACUGAAUGGUUUUCAUUUGCUAGCUUGCUACUGUAAAUGGAAUUCAUUAAUCUGAGGCAAAAGUAAUUAUAACAAAGAACAAAAAAUAUCAGAUUAUUAAGAUGAUAUCUUUCUUUGUUCAGAUGGGUUACUUCCAUCCAUUCAUCAUCUCAUGAAAACACUAAGUUA